AGAAGCGAGCUGCUCGGCCGUCUCCGUCCCACUGAUUAGCAAAGCAUCUUGUUUUUGCUGCUUUCCCUUUUGUGUUUUUGCUGCUCUGCCCAACCCCUCUUUCCUUUGCGCGAAAGACGCAACGCGGUCUCCUUCCUCCUCGGCCGUCUCGUCGCCCUCUUUCUCGAGAUGGACGGCGAAAUAUACGAAUACGACGACCAGCGGCCGCGGAGCCCCGGAUCCGGUGGCGGCGGAGGGACGAGCAUCCACAUCACGGCACUGGACGGCAUCAUCAACGUGAAUUCCCUCUUUACACUGGCCGUCUUCGUGGGCCUCGCCUGGAACCCAUCCGACCCCUCCGGCGGCACCCUGGCCUCCAGCGACUGCGCCGCCGGGAACCGGGUGGCGGAGAACGUGGUCUCCUUCCACGUCUUCGCCUUCGCUUCCUUCCUCUUCUCCAGCCUCGUCGCUCUCUGCCUCAAGCAGGCCAUCCGCCUCGUCCACCCGCCCGGCAGCUCCCGGGCUGCGCGCGUCAACAGGGCGCUGCUUCGCGCCGGCAUCCUCGCCUCCGCCGUCGGCUCCGUCUUCGGGUGCGGCUUCCUCAUGCUCGCCCUCGUCAACGUCGUCCAGGUCAAGCUCGGGCGGCUCGGGUGCGGCGGCUCCGCUUCCGCUGGGGCCAUCGCGCCCCUCGUCACCCUCGUCCCCGCCGCCAUGCUCAUCUACACCGUUAUCGUAUUUUACGCCUUCAUUCGCUGAUCAGUCACCUUGAUCACCCGCCCACCAACCAUUUCUAUGAAGAUAGGGUUCGCCCGUAAUUGCUAAUGGUUUGGGCAACAAUAUCUACAAAAUAGAUCCUACGAGAGGCAGGGAGAUCGGGAAGAAGGUUGGGGUAUUAUAGGAAUGGCAGGAGGUUGGUGAAGGCUAAAGGACAUCCUCUGAUGCUUGAAGCACUGAAGCAGGUCUCCACAGAAAGCAAGAGUUUCUGAAGACAUCUACUUCCUCGUUGCUCGAGCUUGGACCAAAUUACUUGUUCUGGGUCCCCUGGGGCGACAACAAUUGGCAAGGUUUUUAUAACUCGAUUGAUGUUUUCAUAAACCCGAGUCUCAGAGCGCAGGCCACAGGGUUUGUAUCGUACACUGUGGAAACAAUGCUUUCUGGUGUUAUGGCCACAAAAUUUGCCAGCAUUACCGGCCCUCUUAUUGUGGGGCCAGAUAUUGGUUACACAUUUUCAGUCACGGUUGAUUUGCUCAAGGAAUCUUUUCACAGGAUUUUGGACUUGAAAAAAGAGUACUCAUGGAGGAAGGUGAGGUUUCCUGAAACACAGAACAACAUGGCAGUGCGAGAAAGAUGACAGCUUGUGCUCUACGUCUCUAGAGAAGCUGAUGUAAAGGCUAACAAUGAUGACUGAAAGUACCUAUUUCCGUGGGAUUGAAGUGGGUGAAGCUGUUCCAACCAUUUUGAUUUUGGUAGGUAUUAGUGCUGGCCCCAUUAAAGUGGUACUCAUAUAUUUCUGCCAAUAACGUGUUCUAGGAGCUUGUCUAGCAGUAUAUAUUAUAUACCUCUGGAAAGGUUUGUAGUCUGCGCAUAAGAGCGAUGGAAGUUACAAUGAAGCACUUCCGCCUCCUUGGAUUCUUUGUGGUUGCAACUAUCGUAGGAUUGGAGAGUGCUAAUGGAGCUGGGGAGUGUGGGAAUGUUCCUUGUCGAUAGAGUUGCCCGUCGGAUGGCUCCCUGUGCAGCAGCAGCACCAGAUGCACAGGCCGAGGUUUCAGAUAGUUGCUGCUCAGAAGUGAGGAAGCUAGGCCAGAACCCAAGCUGCCUUUGUGCUGUUAUGCUGUCAAAUACCGCAAAGAGUUACGGAAUCAAGCCUGAAGUUGCAAUAACGAUCCCCAAACGGUGUAACCUAGCUGACCGCCGUGUGGGUUACAAAUGUGGACGUUAUACCUUGCCUUGAAGACAGUGUGUCGAAGAAAAAAUAGUGACUGCAAAAAGGAAUGGAACUGCUGGUGUGAUAGUUGUGAUGUUGUAUCUCCUUCUGGUUUGAAUAAGAUGAUAGACAUGCUGUACCAUGUUGCAUGUGGUGUAUGAACAUAAUCAAUAAAUAAAUGGUUUGUUGUGUUGAA